AUUGAAACUUCGGUCGAUUUAAUUUAAUUCUAGUGGCGGACGGGUGAGUAACGCGUGGGUAACCUGCCUUAUACAGGGGGAUAACAGUCAGAAAUGGCUGCUAAUACCGCAUAAGCGCACAGAGCUGCAUGGCUCGGUGUGAAAAACUCCGGUGGUAUAAGAUGGACCCGCGUUGGAUUAGCUUGUUGGUGGGGUAACGGCCCACCAAGGCGACGAUCCAUAGCCGGCCUGAGAGGGUGAACGGCCACAUUGGGACUGAGACACGGCCCAGACUCCUACGGGAGGCAGCAGUGGGGAAUAUUGCACAAUGGGGGAAACCCUGAUGCAGCGACGCCGCGUGAAGGAAGAAGUAUCUCGGUAUGUAAACUUCUAUCAGCAGGGAAGAUAGUGACGGUACCUGACUAAGAAGCCCCGGCUAACUACGUGCCAGCAGCCGCGGUAAUACGUAGGGGGCAAGCGUUAUCCGGAUUUACUGGGUGUAAAGGGAGCGUAGACGGUGUGGCAAGUCUGAUGUGAAAGGCAUGGGCUCAACCUGUGGACUGCAUUGGAAACUGUCAUGCUUGAGUGCCGGAGGGGUAAGCGGAAUUCCUAGUGUAGCGGUGGAAUGCGUAGAUAUUAGGAGGAACACCAGUGGCGAAGGCGG
rnacentral:rRNA from 1 species